CUCCCACAGCCCGGGGAUCUCCUGGUUUAUCUAAUCUCCGGAAUACGGCUACAGUAGAGCAAAGUUUGUUAAUCGCUGAAACACUGUCUGCACUUGUGAGGGAGCUUGCCCCGUGGAGGGCCGGGUAGAUUACUCAGCGGCAACGCGCCGGCACCAUGGCAACCUGACUGCGACGCUGUAGUGUGAUUGCCUAGGUAACCAGGACGGAAGCCGGCUGACGUCACCAGAAGUGACGCUCCGCCAUCAGUUGCAGACGGAAGCGCCCGCCGGGCCCGGCUCUCCCGCGGCAAGAUGACUCCCACCUAUUUAGAAUGUGUGCAUGUCCACAGCCGUCGCGGGAUGACGUCCGGGUGCGGGAUGACGUCACUUCCGGGUCAGACAGGGAGACGCGACCGGAAGUGCGGGACCCGUGGCUCCGGCCGGCGUCGCCGCGGCGAGGGUUGGCGCUUCUAGACAUGCCAGCAAACAGGAAACGAUGUUCUCCAGAAUGGAUCCCCUCCCAUCUCUCUGCCCUUCCACACGCUCCCUGACGCCCCCUGACAUGCAGCUGUAAUAAGAUGAGCUGAAGCAAAGUAAGGGAACGUAAUAUUUCCAGAGUUCUUUACAUCCUGAGGGAAUUCAACUGCUGUGGAACUACAAGUGUCGCCAUGCCGGAACCUAGAUGCACAACAGACGGAGAACCACAGGCCUGCUCUACCUGUUCAGUUAUUCUCCCGGUGUAUGAACCCCAACAUAAAAUAAUGUAAAUGGCAAUUUACUACAGUAGUUGAAAAAAUGGCUUUGGGGGAGAGGUAUCAAGCCUUCUAGAAUCUGAUUAGUUGCUGGGGCAACACCUACACUCUGCCUUUUCACAAGUUUUAAUAACUGUACCCCAGUCUACCCUAUCUACUUAUUUGUACUGGUCAUGAUCGGGAUGCAUGACGCAUUGCAUUUAGCAUGCGCUGCACCCCGACAGUCAUCGCAAGCAUAACGGUGUUCAUAAACCCGAAUGCUUGAAGAAGCCGCAAAGGACUGUUCUCCCGGUAAGAGCUGUCCUUUGCAAUAGAAAUACUUCCAGGUUUAGGACUUGGGAGUCCUCCUGCGCUAGUGUCGAGAGAUGCACAGGCUGCGGUGAGUGCUGAGAGGGAUCCGAUUGGAUCCCUCUCAGGAAGUAAAAGCAAAAAGAAGCCCAACCUAUCCCAACUGGCAUUUUCUGAGGUUUGGCCGCAGUUUUACCUUUGCUGCAUCCCGCCCACAGUGCGAAGCUAUUCUGCACGGGAAUUAUAUUGUUAUGCUGUGUCUCAUCCCUAGUGUCAGGACAAAGUGCAAUUUCUGAAACUAUAAGAGGCUGCAUGGUGUGCCCCAGCUUUAAUUAGUUUAUAACAUCUGCCAUAAAAUAGUACCAUAUUUUAAUUUGCAUUCUUUCAGUGGCCUCUCCCUUCUUGGGCCCCUGCUUUAGAGAGAGACGAAAAAUGCCCUCUUGACUUUUGCUACAUGCUAAUAAUCUAUUUAAAAUAGUGAAAU